rnacentral:rRNA from 1 species
GGACCCGCACAAGUAGUGGAGCAUGUGGUUUAAUUCGAAGAUACGCGCAGAACCUUACCAACACUUGACAUGUUCGUCGCGACUUUAAGAGAUUAAAGUUUUCGGUUCGGCCGGACGAAACACAGGUGCUGCAUGGCUGUCGUCAGCUCGUGUCGUGAGAUGUUGGGUUAAGUCCCGCAACGAGCGCAACCCUCACUUUUAGUUGCCAUCAUUUAGUUGGGCACUCUGAAAGAACUGCCAGUGAUAAGCUGGAGGAAGGUGGGGAUGACGUCAAGUCCUCAUGGCCCUUACGUGUUGGGCUACACACGUGCUACAAUGCUCGGCACAAUGGGAUGCAAACGCCGCGAGGUU